GUUUUAUUGCUGAAGCCAGAAAACAGGAUGGAAAACCGUACCCUCCACGCUCACUCUAUCUCAUAUCCUGUGGGCUUUUACGACACCUGAGAGGCAAGAAGGUUUAUGAUAAAAAACUUUCUCUGUGCCAAAACAUUGGAGUUUUCCGAAUUCCGAAAAAUACUCGACGCAAGGAUGAAGGAGCUGCUGCAAAUGGGAUUCGGCACAAAGGUCAAGCAGGCGCAGGCAGUUCUACCUGAAGACGAAAAAGUGCUUUGGGAAAAGGGUGUCUUCGGAAAUUCCACUGCUGAGGCAUUGCAGAGAACGGUGUUCUUCUAUGCGUGCAAGUUAUUUGCUUUGAGGGGCCACGACGAACAUCACCAGUUACAAUGUGAUCAGUUUGCAAUUGGAGAAGAUCAAGGAGGGAAGUAUGUUGAAUUUUUCGGACGCAGCAAUAAAACAUACAAAGGUGGCCUCAAGGAUCUGGAGAUUUCGAAAAACAUCUGUCAUUAUUGCCAGAAUGUGGAUCGGAAUAUAGCAGAUUUCUUUAAACAGUACAUUGAAGCACUGUGGGGACGUGGUGCAUUUUACAGACGACCUCUCCAUGGCUAUCCUAUUCGUUAUGGUGAACAACCAAUAGGUAUCAACAAGCUGAAAAACUUUAUGAAGAUCAUUUUUGAGCGUGGUGGUCUGAAGGGUAAUUAUACAAAUCACAGCGGAAAACGAAGUUGUGCGACACAAUUUUACAUGGCUGGUGUCGAUGAACAGAAAAUCAUGGCAAGAACUGGGCACAGGUCUGAAAAAAGCGUGCGUAAAUACAAGCAGUCAUCGACAGAGAUCCAACAGAAAGUAGCAUAUGUCCUAGAUCCAACUCCCACAACUUGCUCACUGAAGCGUGAUCGAGCCUCUGAUGAUGGAGAAAACUGCAUUGGUACAUGCAAGUCCAAGAAAAUGAACGUUGAAGUAUCUGAUGAAUUGCCGAAAACCAGUUAUUCUAGUGUCAACUUAAAUUCUAUGUUUCCAGGAAGAGUUUUCUACAAAUGGUUACAAGGGAUUUAGCUGUUACGAACUUAUGAUAGAUCUUUGUAUCGUCGUUAGAUCACAAAAAACCAAAAAUUAAAUAAUAUGUGAUUCGUUAUGUUUUCUUUUAAAAGUUUGUUCGUCAUUUUAUAGACUUUUUAGGAUAUUUUCUUUAUAGUCAUAUUUCAGGACCUCCGUUUCCAGCGGAAGACCUUAUUGUUUUCGUAAUGUUUAUUUUUUUUCUUCCAAAUUUUGUGCACGUGAUUUCUCGAAAACUAUUUGACCGAUCUCAACAAUUUUUCCGCAGAUGAUGGGACACUAUCUGCAUUGUAUAUGUUUUUGAAUUUUUCAAUUUUUUCGAUUUUGUGAUUUUUUACGACCUAUUUUGUGCAGAGCUGAUCUCAAAAACUAUCAGAGAUAUUACUUUGAAAUUUUCAGGAUAGGUAGCCCAUAUUUGGAAGUUUUGAAUUAUUUUGUUUUGUUUCCUGGAAUUUUGAAUAAAAAAGUUUGGACGUUUC
rnacentral:misc_RNA from 1 species